AAGCUCGUAGUUGAAUUUCGAGACCGGCUUACUGGUCGUGCUAUUGUACGUACUGGUAUAAUCGGUUUCUCCUUUCUGACGAACUAUAAUGCCAUUAAUUUGGUGUUUUAGGGAAUCAGGACUGUUACUUUGAAAAAAUUAGAGUGUUUAAAGCAGGCUAACGUCUGAAUACAUUAGCAUGGAAUAAUGAAAUAGGACGUUUGACCCUAUUUUGUUGGUUUCUAGGAUCGACGUAAUGAUUAAUAGGGAUAGUUGGG
rnacentral:rRNA from 1 species